rnacentral:sRNA from 1 species
GGUUUUUCGUGAGGGAGGUUGUAAUAGCGUGAGGUACUGGUACGUAGCUGUAUACAAGCAAGAGUUUUAGUCAGGUUACGAGUAUAGGUUGCCAUGAUGCGAAGAGCAAGACAUAUCGGUUUUUAAAUCGAGGGGCUUGAUGCUGGCGCCUGCGUAAACAACAGACACUGUGCUCGGCCUUCGUGCUUAAUCCACUCAACACCUGUGCACCUUAUCGAAGUUAGUAGUCUUUCCUCCUUAGUUGGAGCCGCCGGGGUUGACUUUGUUAGUAGUGUUUCGACGCGAAAGCAUAUGGUCGGCCUUGGCUGGGAUUGACGAACUCUUUGACUUCAUCAUACACACUUUAAUUGUCUUGUAGAAUGUAAUGCUCCUUGUGGGCGAAAUGAAAUACAACUUUCAACAACGGAUCUCUUGGCUCUCGCAUCGAUGAAGAACGCAGCGAAAUGCGAUAAGUAAUGUGAAUUGCAGAAUUCAGUGAAUCAUCGAAUCUUUGAACGCACCUUGCGCCCCUUGGUAUUCCGAGGGGCAUGCCUGUUUGAGUGUCAUGUUAACAUCAAACCCCUUGCUUGUAAAGGCUCGGGGCUUGAAUUUGGAGGUUUGUGCCGGCCUGCUUCAUUGUCAGUUGUCGGCUCCUCUUAAAUGGAUUAGCUGGACUUUUGGUCUGCGUGUCGGUGUGAUAGUUUAUUCACCAAAUCCGCUUUUCCCUAAUGGUCUGCUUCUAAUGGUCUUUCGGACAGGUCUUUUAACAGCCUUUCUUGACUUCUUUUGGACCUUCAAAAUCAGGGGUAGAGUACCUAACCCCCCAGCCUUGGAAAACGCG